rnacentral:rRNA from 1 species
AUUGAACGCUGGCGGCAGGCCUAACACAUGCCAGUCGAGCGGAUGAAGGGAGCUUGCUCCUGGAUUCAGCGGCGGACGGGUGAGUAAUGCCUAGGAAUCUGCCUGGUAGUGGGGAUAACGUCCGGAAACGGGCGCUAAUACCGCAUACGUCCUGAGGGAGAAAGUGGGGGAUCUUCGGACCUCACGCUAUCAGAUGAGCCUAGGUCGGAUUAGCUAGUUGGUGGGGUAAAGGCCUACCAAGGCGACGAUCCGUAACUGGUCUGAGAGGAUGAUCAGUCACACUGGAACUGAGACACGGUCCAGACUCCUACGGGAGGCAGCAGUGGGGAAUAUUGGACAAUGGGCGAAAGCCUGAUCCAGCCAUGCCGCGUGUGUGAAGAAGGUCUUCGGAUUGUAAAGCACUUUAAGUUGGGAGGAAGGGCAGUAAGUUAAUACCUUGCUGUUUUGACGGUACCAACAGAAUAAGCACCGGCUAACUUCGUG